rnacentral:tRNA from 1 species
GGAGGGCGAAGGGCCCCGGUGGGCCUCCCGGUCUUCAAAACCGGUGCCGCCCCGCUAGGGCGGGGUGGGUUCGAUUCCCACCGCCCUCCGCCA